ensembl:lncRNA
CACUUCUGCAUUCUGCCUUGUUAUGAAGGGAGGACGUGCGUUAAGUGUGAGACGGGAGGACUUCCUGAAAUGUGAUGGAUCCCAAUCAAAGGCCCGCCAAUGCAUCCGUUCAGAGACAAGAUGCCACUGACCUCCCCGGGCCUCUUACUGACGAUCCUUUUGAUCUCUACGAGAGCGCUGGGAAGAUGUCCUCCACUGAAAUCCAACCCAGCCCCCCCAGGCCACCACCAAUCCGUCGCCCUCCUCCUCCGCUCAGAACCAGACUUCCCAGUGAAUGUUUGCCGGGUACCAAAGGCCAAGCACCCGUUCCUUUACCUCGCAAGGGGCGAAUACCCCUCAGCAACAGCAAGAAGCAGCUAUCCUGUGACCUCACUGAUCACGCUCCCAAACUGAACCGUUCCCGUUCGGAAAUACACAAUCAUGUGAGUAUGUGCCGAUGUACUCUGGGACGAUAAAAAGCUCCUUUUUGAUGGAAUCGAAUGACCCGAAGUAACAUCAACGAAGAGUGCAAACCGUCUUCUUGUCUUUUUUUUUUUUUUUUUUUUUUUUACAUCAGGACCCAUGGACGAUCGCACUAAUAGACACUCCAGAAGGCAGCACCAGGAGGCUGACGUCUUUUUGUGCAGCCACUUCCAGGUCAGAGGGUGUAUGAAAAUGAGUUCUGAACAUAUUUGUGACCCUUUCCCUCUGGCAACUUGUUCAACUUUGAUCCGCCGUCUCCGACAGCCUCAUGUCACGACACCGGCACACAGACAUCCUCCAUAACUCGGGUUUGGUAUGGAGUCGUUUGUUACGAAUCAAUCCGGCCCUCCUGCAGCAGGUGGAGGUGAAUGUCAGCGUGGCCACCGAGUGGGACAAUCACCAGCUCCCCUUCCGCACCGCGGGUAAGACCCACCAACGCGGUACCACAAGAUCUCUACAGUUUGUACUGUAGAGAAUGAAGAGAAACGUUACAAACUGUCGUCUUUUCUUUGAUGUGAGCCUCUGUGAGGUCUUUGUCUCCAAUGAAGCAUCUUUAUUUUUAUGUUCAGUGAACAGGACAGUGAAGAGUCUGAUCGAUGAAAUCUUCCAGCUGCUCGACCUCCCCCCCAGCCCAAGCGGAUGUCAUUAUUUGAAACUGUGCAACUCCGAUGAGUAUCUCGAAAAUGAAGAACUGCUGGGCAUGCACGAGAAGGUUCAGAUCUCCUCCAAGCUAAAACUGGUCGUCCCCCUGCGACUGCUCCACGUGGACAACCUCAGACACCGUCUGUGCAGAGAUGUAAGUCGGUUCAAACUCCUUCAUUGUUGCAGCCUGAGGUGUAGAUUAUUUACCCAGAAGGGGGGGGAGGGGCGAUCUGCUCUCGCAAACACCCGUGCCUGGCCCCUCGCCAGCCUGUAGUUAUCAUCAGGGCUAUUGUCCCUAUAAAAAUCUCCACCCUCGGUUCUUGACUUUGUCCUGUUUACACAUCACGUCAUGGCUGGAGGCAUUAACAGCAAGAAUGAAGUAGAAUGAAGGUAAACCUAAUGUAACCGAUAGAUAACUAGUCAUGAUAUAGAACGUUUGCUUUUUUUCUCCAAGGGGGAGGAUGACCGAACACCUUGCCAGCUGUACCAGCUCCUGCGUUCUGCUUGUGUCUUCAACACCUGCAGGUGAGCCUUUCAGUGGGUCACGUGUUGACCCGUGUCUGUUUGUAGACGACAUAAGGACAGGUGGCUUUGUGUCGUGGUCCCCUACCGCGAUGGCAUCUGUGUGUGUGUGUUUAACCUGCCCCCCCUCUCUCAGGUUGAGCCUGCAGAAUGUGCUCUGGAGCUACAACAGGGAGGUGUCAGAGCUAAUGAGGAGUAAGGUGAGUGGACCGAGAGGGUAACCGGUGGGAGGGUUUCCCGCUUUUUUUUGCAUUCUUCACCUCAGGAUAAUAAUCUGAACCGGAAUUUCUUUGUGUUUGCAGUCGGGGAUGAACGUCAAUGUGGUCGUGUCCCGCGUCCGGGUCAUCAGUAAUCUUCUGUGCGGGCUCUCGUGUCAGCAGCUGGAGGACGCUAUCGGCAGUCUCAACAGAAUCAAUCCCAUACCUCUGGUGGAGUGUCAAGCCUUUUUCUUCCCUCUCUAGAACAACACAACCAUUUACGUCUUUAACCUUGUGUAAUAAUCUUUUAGAGAUUUUAGAUUACUUUUCUAACGACACAAAACAACGCUGUGUUUCCUCAUAUUUCGUUACAGAGUCAUGAUGAGAUCUUUCAGUGUGAAACAGGUGAGCAUGAGUGUUAUUUAAAAUGAGUGUUAUUCAACUUCUCAGUGUGGGUGUUUAAGGGGGAAACAUUUUCAUUUCAAAACUAACCUGGAUUACCAAUAGUAUUAAACCGGUAUGAGUGUGAGAUUUUCACCACGUAGUGCCCUCAAACCUGGUAUAAAUAGUGCUGGGAAGCACAAGGUUGGUGGUUUGAUUCCAGGCUGCGCCAUGUUCCAUGUCGAAGUGUCCCUGAGCAAGACACCUAACCCCUAAUUGCUCCCCGGGCAAAAAUGUGAAAAAGCCAUGGGUUUAAAGUAUAAUGUAAGUCGCUUUGGAUACAAGCGUCUGCUAAAUGACAUGUAAUGUAAUGUAAUAAAUGGUUUAUAACACUACAAUUUAGUUGUAAGUCUAUAACCUCUAAGCAUAAUCUGUUGUUUGAAUCAAUUAUGGUUAAAAUGCAGCACAAGGUCAGAAUAAUGAAAAAGUUGAGUUUUUUGACCAGAAAUGUACAAAAAAGAACAAAAUUACAUUUGAUAUCUGCUUUUAAUUCAUAUAUACGCUCUUCAUACAUGUCAUACGCUGUAUGACAUUCAUAUAGCGUAUGAAUGUCAAAGUAAAGUGUUACUUUACUGGUAAUUAACCUUAUGAAUUGAU